UUGAUCCUGGCUCAAUUGACCUGGCGGCAUGCUUUACACAUCCAAGUCGAACGGCAGCGCGGGCCAACCUGGCGGCGAGUGGCGAACGGGUAGUAAUACAUCGUAACGUCCCAGAAGUGGGGGAUAACGUAGCGAAAGUUACGCUUAAUACCGCAUACGUUCUACGGAAGAAAGUGGGGGAUCGCAAGACCUCAUGCUUUUGGAGCGGCCGAUGUCUGAUUAGCUAGUUGGUGAGGUAAAGGCUCACCAAGGCGACGAUCAGUAGCUGGUCUGAGAGGACAGACCAACCACAUUGGGACUGAGACACGGCCCAGACUCCUACGGGAGGCAGCAGUGGGGAAUUUUGGACAAUGGGCGCAAGCCUGAUCCAGCUAAUGCCGCGUGAGUGAAGAAGGCCUUCGGGUUGUAAAGCUCUUUUGUCAGGGAAGAAACGGCUGGGGUUAAUACCCCUGGCUAAUGCG
rnacentral:rRNA from 1 species